GUCCUAUUUCUCUCUAUUCUUUAUAUUUUUGUCCUAUUUCUCUCUAUUCUUUAUAUUUUUUACCCAUUAUUCAGCACUUUUUACCCACUUUUCUCUAUUCUGUAAACCCCAUCCUGAUCCUCAUUUGUGGAAAAUAUUUUGUCUUCUCUAUGAACGGAGGGCUCUAUGUUUUACCGGGGACUGCUUAAUAAAGGCAACAGUAUAG
rnacentral:lncRNA from 1 species